rnacentral:rRNA from 1 species
CCCGUAAUCCGGGUUGCGGACAGUGUCUGGUGGGUAGUUUGACUGGGGCGGUCUCCUCCUAAAGAGUAACGGAGGAGCACGAAGGUUGGCUAAUCCUGGUCGGACAUCAGGAGGUUAGUGCAAUGGCAUAAGCCAGCUUGACUGCGAGCGUGACGGCGCGAGCAGGUGCGAAAGCAGGUCAUAGUGAUCCGGUGGUUCUGAAUGGAAGGGCCAUCGCUCAACGGAUAAAAGGUACUCCGGGGAUAACAGGCUGAUACCGCCCAAGAGUUCAUAUCGACGGCGGUGUUUGGCACCUCGAUGUCGGCUCAUCACAUCCUGGGGCUGAAGUAGGUCCCAAGGGUAUGGCUGUUCGCCAUUUAAAGUGGUACGCGAGCUGGGUUUAGAACGUCGUGAGACAGUUCGGUCCCUAUCUGCCGUGGGCGCUGGAGAACUGAGGGGGGCUGCUCCUAGUACGAGAGGACCGGAGUGGACGCAUCACUGGUGUUCGGGUUGUCAUGCCAAUGGCACUGCCCGGUAGCUAAAUGCGGAAGAGAUAAGUGCUGAAAGCAUCUAAGCACGAAACUUGCCCCGAGAUGAGUUCUCCCUGACCCUUUAAGGGUCCUGAAGGAACGUUGAAGACGACGACGUUGAUAGGCCGGGUGUGUAAGCGCAGCGAUGCGUUGAGCUAACCGGUACUAAUGAACCGUGAGGCUUAACCUUACAACGCCGAAG